rnacentral:rRNA from 1 species
GAAGUGUGGACGCCAGUCUGCAUGGAGCCGACCUUGAAAUACCACCCUUUAAUGUUUGAUGUUCUAACGUUGACCCGUAAUCCGGGUUGCGGACAGUGUCUGGUGGGUAGUUUGACUGGGGCGGUCUCCUCCUAAAGAGUAACGGAGGAGCACGAAGGUUGGCUAAUCCUGGUCGGACAUCAGGAGGUUAGUGCAAUGGCAUAAGCCAGCUUGACUGCGAGCGUGACGGCGCGAGCAGGUGCGAAAGCAGGUCAUAGUGAUCCGGUGGUUCUGAAUGGAAGGGCCAUCGCUCAACGGAUAAAAGGUACUCCGGGGAUAACAGGCUGAUACCGCCCAAGAGUUCAUAUCGACGGCGGUGUUUGGCACCUCGAUGUCGGCUCAUCACAUCCUGGGGCUGAAGUAGGUCCCAAGGGUAUGGCUGUUCGCCAUUUAAAGUGGUACGCGAGCUGGGUUUAGAACGUCGUGAGACAGUUCGGUCCCUAUCUGCCGUGGGCGCUGGAGAACUGAGGGGGGCUGCUCCUAGUACGAGAGGACCGGAGUGGACGCAUCACUGGUGUUCGGGUUGUCAUGCCAAUGGCACUGCCCGGUAGCUAAAUGCGGAAGAGAUAAGUGCUGAAAGCAUCUAAGCACGAAACUUGCCCCGAGAUGAGUUCUCCCUGACCCUUUAAGGGUCCUGAAGGAACGUUGAAGACGACGACGUUGAUAGGCC